rnacentral:rRNA from 1 species
UACGUAGGGGGCAAGCGUUUGUCCGGAAUCAUUGGGCGUAAAGCGCGUGUAGGCGGUCCGGUAAGUCCGCUGUGAAAGUCGGGGGGUCAACCCUCGGAUGCCGGUGGAGUACUGUCGGGCUUGAGGUACGGAAGAGGCGAGUGGAAUUCCUGGUGUAGCGGUGAAAUUGCGCAGAGUAUCAAGGAGGAACACCAAUUGCGAA